UGGUGGAGUGAUUUGUCUGGUUAAUUCCGUUAACGAACGAGACCCCCGCCUGCUAAAUAGUAGCAAUAAUGCUUAGCAUUGUUGAAUUCACUUCUUAGAGGGACUUCUGGUGACUAACCAGAGGAAGUUGGGGGCAAUAACA
rnacentral:rRNA from 1 species